rnacentral:rRNA from 1 species
AUUGAACGCUGGCGGCAUGCCUUACACAUGCAAGUCGAACGGAUCAGAGGGGCUUGCUCCUUUGGUUAGUGGCGAACGGGUGAGUAAAGCAUCGGAACGUACCCAGUUGUGGGGGAUAACGUAGCGAAAGGUACGCUAAUACCGCAUACGCACUGAGAGGGAAAGCGGGGGACCGAAAGGCCUCGCGCAAUUGGAGCGGCCGAUGUCGGAUUAGCUAGUCGGUGAGGUAAAGGCGCACCAAGGCGACGAUCCGUAGCUGGUCUGAGAGGACGACCAGCCACACUGGAACUGAGACACGGUCCAGACUCCUACGGGAGGCAGCAGUGGGGAAUUUUGGACAAUGGGCGAAAGCCUGAUCCAGCCAUGCCGCGUGAGUGAAGAAGGCCUUCGGGUUGUAAAGCUCUUUCAGACGGAAAGAAAUCUUUCGGGUGAAUAUCCCGAAAGGAUGACGGUACCGUAAGAAGAAGCACCGGCUAACUACGUGCCAGCCGCCGCCGUAA